GUAGGUGGCAAGCGUUGUCCGGAAUUAUUGGGCGUAAAGCGCGCGCAGGCGGUUCUUUAAGUCUGAUGUGAGAGCCCACGGCUCAACCGUGAAGGGUCAUUGGAAACUGGAGAACUUGAGUACAGAAGAGGAAAGCGGAAUUCCACGUGUAGCGGUGAAAUGCGUAGAGAUGUGGAGGAACACCAGUGGCGAAGGCGGCUUUCUGGUCUGUAACUGACGCUGAGGCGCGAAAGCGUGGGGAGCAAACAGGAUUAGAUACCCUGGUAGUCCACGCCGUAAACGAUGAGUGCUAAGUGUUAGGGGGUUUCCGCCCCCCUUAGUGCUGCAGCUAACGCAUUAAGCACUCCGCCUGGGAGUACGGCCGCAAGGCUG
rnacentral:rRNA from 1 species